UACGAAGGGGGCUAGCGUUGCUCGGAAUCACUGGGCGUAAAGCGCACGUAGGCGGAUCUUUUAAGUCAGGGGUGAAAUCCCAAGGCUCAACCUUGGAACUGCCUUUGAUACUGGGGAUCUCGAGUCCGGAAGAGGUUGGUGGAACUGCGAGUGUAGAGGUGAAAUUCGUAGAUAUUCGCAAGAACACCAGUGGCGAAGGCGGCCAACUGGUCCGGAACUGACGCUGAGGUGCGGAAAGCGUGGG
rnacentral:rRNA from 1 species